rnacentral:rRNA from 1 species
AUGAUGUUCUACUAUUUAUAUUUCAGGGAAUUUUUUCUGGACAAAGGAAAGGACAAGCUAUAUAUUUGUGAACUUGAAGCAAGUUCCUAUUUUUAUAGCUAUGUGAAAGAAAAACAUUUAUUUUAUGGGAAAGGCAGUCAACAGUCUGCUUCUUCUAAACAAUGUGCAUGUUUUUUCACCCUUUUUUGUUUGUUUGUAAUACCACUGAUUGCAUGCAGCAGUUUGUUAGUACUAUUCCUUUCUCCGGGUGAAUUAUUGUAUUUUUCUUCAAAUGCAUGUUCCAGUAUAGUAUUUCUUUGUAUUCCAAAUGCACGGUUUUAUUCAAAUAAUUAG